GACGAACGCUGGCGGCGUGCUUAACACAUGCAAGUCGAACGGAAACGCCCUGCUUUUGUGGGGUGCUCGAGUGGCGAACGCGUGAGUAACACGUGAGUAACCUGCUCUUGACUUUGGGAUAACUUCAGGAAACUGGGGCUAAUACCGGAUAGGAGCUCCUCCUGCAUGGUGGGGGUUGGAAAGUUUCGGCGGUUGGGGAUGGACUCGCGGCUUAUCGGCUUGUUGGUGGGGUAGUGGAUUACCCAGGCUUUGACGGGUAGCCGGCCUGAGAGGGUGACCGGCGACAUUGGGACUGAGAUAGGGCCCAGAGUCCUACGUGAGGCAGCAGGGGGAAGUAUUGCACAGUGGGCGGAAGCGGGAGGCAGCAACCUCGCGUGCGGAAAGACGGCCUGCGGGGAGUAAACCGCUGUCGGCUGUGACGAAGCGUGAGUGACGGUAACGGGUAAAGAAGCACCGGCUAACUACGUG
rnacentral:rRNA from 1 species